rnacentral:lncRNA from 1 species
AAAAAUGGUAAGACAAAUAAAAAAAAAAUAAACAGGUGAAAUAUAAAAUUAUUUUUAAAACAAAUUUUAUUUAAAUUAUUUGAAUUUUUUGAAUUUUAAAUUAUAAAAGUUAAUUUGCGUAAAAAAUCUAUCGAUUUUGAUAAUUUACAAAAAUAUGCCACUAUUUUAGAUUUUGCAAAUUCAGUCCGAAUUUUCAAAAAACUGACAAAGAUACUAUUAUUCUCUUUUCUCUCUCCUCUUUUUUCUUUUGUUCUCCGACUCUCCUCCAGCGCC